rnacentral:rRNA from 1 species
GACGAACGCUGGCGGCGUGCCUAAUACAUGCAAGUCGAACGAUAGCGACCGGUGCUUGCACUGGUCAAUCUAGUGGCGAACGGGUGAGUAACACGUGGGUAACCUGCCCAUCAGAGGGGUAUAACAUCCGGAAACGGAUUCUAAAACCGCAUAAGUCUUCGAACCGCAUUGUUUGAAUAGGAAAAGAGUCGCACGCUUCUGCUCAUGGAUGGACCCGCUUUGCAUUUGCUAGUUGGUGGGGUAAUGGCUCACCAAGGCCGUGAUGCAUAGCCGACCGGAGAGGGGGAUAGGCGACAUUGGGACGGGGACAGGGACAAAACGACUAAGGGAGGCAGCAGAAGGGAAUGUGCCGCAAUGGACGCAAGUCUGACGGAGCAAGGCCGCGUGAGUGAAGAAGGUUUUCGGAUAGUAAAAAUCGGUUGUGAGAGAAGAACAAGUGCUAGAGUAAAUGUUAGCGACUUGACGGUAUCUAACCAGAAAGCCACGGCUAACUACGUG